GCCCCGCCCACCAGCGGCUGCGGCAAACGCGAGCCCGCCCUCCGGCCACGCCCCCCAGGGCAGCCAAUGCCCGGGCUGGGGCGGGGUGAGGCGCCUUAACCCCUUCGUCGCUGCGCCCCGCCCGCGCGUGGGACCCCUCAGCCUCACCCUCUCUAGGGCGCAGCAAGUCCGCCGCGAGCCCCUCUGCUCAUCGCUCGUUACCCCCCAGGCCCUUGGGCUUGGGCUCAGGCCCAGUCGUUCCUCUGCAACAAAUCCAAUGGAACCGCGCCCUCCCUGAAUCCCACGUCUAGGAAGAGGAGGAGGAGCCCCUCUUGCUUGGGGGAAGGGGCUCCCGACUCGGAGCCCCGAGCCCCAUUCCUCUCCCGCGCCAGCUCUUCGGGACGCGGCCUCCCAGCGGACGCCCUGAGACCUUGCAAGUCCGCUAGGGAGGGGUCGGGACGAGCCGUCGCGGGUGGAUCCGCCCGGCCGAGCAACGACCCGCCCGGGCGCGAGGACCACGGGCUGUCGUGCGGGAGGCGUCGAGGGGCAGUAAACUCCGUUCGUGACCAAACGGAGACGAUUUGAAACUUGCUGCUCACACUGGAUCACCGUCUGGAAGAUUCUGAUUUGACUGGUCCUGGGUGCAACGGGGCUGGCAUGAGACGACUAAAAACUCCCCAGGUGAAUCCAAUGAGCAACCAGGCUAAGGACCAGUGAUCUAACUAAUGUAGGCUCCAGAUGGCCUUCCAAACAAUACAUGUGGCCCUUCACGCUCCAGGUGAUGACAAGUACCCGUUGCUGAUGGAAGUAGCAGAGUCAUACCUUUCUUGGAAUUUAGGUUCUACAGUCAAUGCUUAUGGCACCCAAUGAGUCAAAAACACCCUUGGCAACUCCUAAGGAAGGCUCUGCCCUGGAACCUGAUGUACUGUUUCCCCAUCACCAUCCAGGGAGAGUUUCCUCCUGGGCCGGAACAGAAAGCUGCCUCCUCCAUCAGGCACCAGAGGAAGUAGGGGGCUUCUGUUUAGGGACCACUUUGCAUAAAUACACAUUUAAACAUGUGCCUCACCCUCAGCACAGCAGGAUGCUCACGCCAUGAACAGCCAACAGGAACCAGAGUGACCGACCCUCCAGGAGGUACACACCUCCCUCCCAUCCCACCCACUUCUGAGCAUAUGGUUCUCACAUCCACCAGUGGGUGGAAUCACCCACACCAUUUAAACUUUUUGUCAAGGAUGUAGAGCUGAAUUCAUGUGAUUUCCCACAUGAGCAAUGUCCCUCCCUCCACUGCACAAUUAUAGCCAGCUCAAGCAGGUCCUCUCCUUCCUUCUACCUGCCCUGCAAAUGGCUCUCUCCUUCACUGACCCCCCGCCCUCCUUCUUAAAGGCUGAUGCUCCCUAGGACUCUAUCCUUGAUGCUUCUCAUUAAUUCUUCUCCCCGCUGGCUCUCAGCCCUACUUAGGGCUCCUGAUCAGUUAAAAAAGACCCAUGAGACCUCCCCUCCCCAGUUAACAGAGAUGUGGCCCAAGAGGCUCCCCACUUCUAAUUUGAGUGGGGGCAAAAGAAGAGAAAGAUCUUAUCUAGGUCUUGGGGGCAGGGCUUGCAGGGCACAAAGAAACAGAGUAAAUGUGCAACAGGCUAUUUUCUUGAAUGAAUGGAUUCAUAAUAAGAACAGGACUUCACCAGCUUCCAAGGGACCCUCCCCACCUCUCGGAUAUAUUCUGAAGCCUAAAUUUCACCUGCUUAUCUAGGAUCCUAGGCCAGGCCUUCUGCCACACCAACUCUGAGUCCAAGAGGGAAGGACUG
rnacentral:lncRNA from 1 species